rnacentral:rRNA from 1 species
UACGUAGGGCGCAAGCGUUGUCCGGAAUUAUUGGGCGUGAAGAGCUCGUAGGCGGCUUGUCACGUCGGGUGUGAAAGCCCGGGGCUUAACCCCGGGUCUGCAUUCGAUACGGGCUAGCUAGAGUGUGGUAGGGGAGAUCGGAAUUCCUGGUGUAGCGGCGAAAUGCGCAGAUAUCGGGAAGAACACCCGUGGCGAAGGCGGCUCUCUGGGACGGUACUGACGCUGAGACGCGAAAGCGUGGGGAGCGAACAGG